rnacentral:rRNA from 1 species
GUUGAACGCUGGCGGCAUGCUUUACACAUGCAAGUCGAACGGUAACAGGCCUUCGGGUGCUGACGAGUGGCGAACGGGUGAGUAAUGCAUCGGAACGUACCCAGAGGUGGGGGAUAACGCAGCGAAAGCUGUGCUAAUACCGCAUGUGAUCUGAGGAUGAAAGCGGGGGACCGAGCAGCAAUGUUUGGCCUCGCGCCUUUGGAGCGGCCGAUGUCGGAUUAGCUAGUUGGUGGGGUAAAGGCCUACCAAGGCGACGAUCCGUAGCUGGUCUGAGAGGACGACCAGCCACACUGGAACGGAGACACGGCCCAGACUCCUACGGGAGGAAGCAGUGGGGAAUUUUGGACAAUGGGCGCAAGCCUGAUCCAGCAAUGCCGCGUGCGGGAAGAAGGCCUUCGGGUUGUAAACCGCUUUUGGCAGGAACGAAACGGUGUCCGCUAAUACCGGGCGCUAAUGACGGUACCUGCAGAAUAAGCACCGGCUAACUACGUG